rnacentral:rRNA from 1 species
UGGGGAAUAUUGGACAAUGGGCGCAAGCCUGAUCCAGCCAUGCCGCGUGAGUGAUGAAGGCCUUAGGGUUGUAAAGCUCUUUCGCCGGUGAAGAUAAUGACGGUAACCGGAGAAGAAGCCCCGGCUAACUUCGUGCCAGCAGCCGCGGUAAUACGAAGGGGGCUAGCGUUGCUCGGAAUCACUGGGCGUAAAGCGCACGUAGGCGGAUCGUUAAGUCAGGGGUGAAAUCCUGGAGCUCAACUCCAGAACUGCCCUUGAUACUGGCGAUCUCGAGUUCGAGAGAGGUUGGUGGAACUCCGAGUGUAGAGGUGAAAUUCGUAGAUAUUCGGAAGAACACCAGUGGCGAAGGCGGCCAACUGGCUCGAUACUGACGCUGAGGUGC